rnacentral:rRNA from 1 species
CUGGCUCAGGACGACGCUGGCGGCGUGCCUAACACAUGCAAGCCAGAGGAAAGUGGCAACACGAGUACUCGGCCAAGGGUGCGUAAUGCAUAGGUUGUCUGCCCCUCGGUCUGGGAUAACCCAUCGAAAGAUGGAUAAUACCAGAUGAUGAGGCAACUCCAAAGGAAACGCCGAGGGAUGAGCCUAUGUCCAUCAGGUAGUUGGUAGGGUAACGGCCUACCAAGCCGACGACGGGUAGCUGGUCUGAGAGAUGAUCAGCCACACUGGAACUGAGACACGGUCCAUACUCCUACGGGAGGCAGCAGUUAAAAUCUUGCUCAAUGGGGGAAACCCUGAAGCAGCGACGCCGCGUGAGCGAUGAAGGUCUUGGAUUGUAAAGCUCAGUAAGUGGGGACGAAGAA